AGUGAACGCUGGCGGUAGGCCUAACACAUGCAAGUCGAACGGCAGCACAGUAAGAGCUUGCUCUUACGGGUGGCGAGUGGCGGACGGGUGAGGAAUACAUCGGAAUCUACUUUUUCGUGGGGGAUAACGUAGGGAAACUUACGCUAAUACCGCAUACGACCUACGGGUGAAAGCAGGGGAUCUUCGGACCUUGCGCGAUUGAAUGAGCCGAUGUCGGAUUAGCUAGUUGGCGGGGUAAAGGCCCACCAAGGCGACGAUCCGUAGCUGGUCUGAGAGGAUGAGCAGCAACACUGGAACUGAGACACGGUCCAGACUCCUACGGGAGGCAGCAGUGGGGAAUAUUGGACAAUGGGCGCAAGCCUGAUCCAGCCAUACCGCGUGGGUGAAGAAGGCCUUCGGGUUGUAAAGCCCUUUUGUAGGGAAAGAAAAGCAGCAGGUUAAUACCCCGCUGUUCUGACGGUACCCAAAGAAUAAGCACGGGCUAACUUCGUG
rnacentral:rRNA from 1 species